rnacentral:rRNA from 1 species
AUACGGAGGAUGCGAGCGUUAUCCGGAUUUAUUGGGUUUAGAGGGUGCGUAGGCUGUGCGUUAAGUCAGGGGUGAAAUGCCGUCGCUCAACGACGGAGCUGCCCUUGAUACUGGCGUGCUGGAGUACGGAUGCCGUUGGAGGAAUGAGUGGUGUAGCGGUGAAAUGCUUAGAUAUCACUCAGAACACCGAUUGCGAAGGCAUCUGACGAAUCCGUCACUGACGCUGAGGCACGAAAGCGUGGGGAUAGAACAGGAUUAGAUACCCUGGUAUUCCACGCCGUAAACGAUGAUGACUAACCGUCGGCGAUAGACAGCCGGUGGCCAAGCGAAAGCGAUAAGUCAUCCACCUGGGGAGUACGUCGGCAACGAUGAAACUCAAAUGAAUUGGCGGGG